UUAAGCGGAGGAAAAGAAACUAACCAGGAUUUCCUUAGUAGCGGCGAGCGAACAGGAAAGAGCCCAGCACCGAAUCCCGCGGUUCCGCCGCAGGGAAAUGUGGUGUUCGGGAGGGUCCGCUUAUCCCGAGGCGUCGCGCCGCGUCCAAGUCCAUCUUGAAUGGGGCCACUUACCCGCAGAGGGUGCCAGGCCCGUAGCGACCGGUGCGCGUCUCGGGAGGAUCUCUCCUUAGAGUCGGGUUGCUUGAGAGUGCAGCUCUAAGUGGGUGGUAAACUCCAUCUAAGGCUAAAUACGACCACGAGACCGAUAGCGAACAAGUACCGUGAGGGAAAGUUGAAAAGAACUUUGA
rnacentral:rRNA from 2 species